rnacentral:rRNA from 1 species
GUCGAACGGUAACAGGAAGCAGCUUGCUGCUUCGCUGACGAGUGGCGGACGGGUGAGUAAUGUCUGGGAAACUGCCUGAUGGAGGGGGAUAACUACUGGAAACGGUAGCUAAUACCGCAUAACGUCGCAAGACCAAAGAGGGGGACCUUCGGGCCUCUUGCCAUCGGAUGUGCCCAGAUGGGAUUAGCUAGUAGGUGGGGUAACGGCUCACCUAGGCGACGAUCCCUAGC